CCUACGGGAGGCAGCAGUGGGGAAUAUUGCACAAUGGGCGAAAGCCUGAUGCAGCAACGCCGCGUGAGCGAUGAAGGCCUUCGGGUCGUAAAGCUCUGUCCUCAAGGAAGAUAAUGACGGUACUUUCGGAGGACGCCCCGGCUAACUACGUGCCAGCAGCCGCGGUAAUACGUAGGGGGCUAGCGUUCUCCGGAAUUACUGGGCGAAAAGGGUGCGUAGGGGGUUUCUUAAGUCAGAGGUGAAAGGCUACGGCUCAACCGUAGUAAGCCUUUGAAACUGGGGAACUUGAGUGCAGGAGAGGAGAGUGGAAUUCCUAGUGUAGCGGUGAAAUGCGGAGAUAUUAGGAGGAACACCAGUUGCGAAGGCGGCUCUCUGGACUGUAACUGACACUGAGGCACGAAAGCGUGGGGAGCAAACAGGAUUAGAUACCCUGGUAGUC
rnacentral:rRNA from 1 species